CGCCUCUUGAAAAGAUAUAAGAGGUCCAGCCUGCCCAGUGACAAUGUUCAACGGCCGCGGUAUCCUAACCGUGCGAAGGUAGCGUAAUCACUUGUCCUUUAAAUGAGGACUAGUAUGAAUGGCAUCACGAAGGCUGUACUGUCUCCUUUUUCUAAUCAGUGAAACUAAUCUCCCCGUGAAGAAGCGGGGAUAUAUUUAUAAGACGAGAAGACCCUAUGGAGCUUUAAACAAACAACAAUUUCUAUAACUUCUAUUUAAACCCAGAUUAGUAACAACUAGUAUAGCACUAAUGUAUGUAAGUUUUAGGUUGGGGUGACCACGGAGCAAAAAAUAACCUCCACGUUGAAAGGAACAACUCCUUAACAAAAAGUCACAACUUUAUGUAUCAACAAAUUGACAUUAAUUGAUCCAUUAUUUGAACAACGAAACAAGUUACCCUAGGGAUAACAGCGCAAUCUACUUCGAGAGCUCAUAUCGACAAGUAGGUUUACGACCUCGAUGUUGGAUCAGGGUGUCCCAGUGGUGCAGCCGCUACUAAAGGUUCGUUUGUUCAACGAUUAAAACCCU
rnacentral:rRNA from 1 species